ensembl:lncRNA
AUUUUUGGGGAUUUUUCUGGAUUUUUUUGGGGAUUUUUUGGGGAUUUUUGGGGGGAAUUUUUGGGAUUUUUUGGGGAUUUUUUUUGAUUUUUUGGGGAUUUUUUUGGGGGUUUUUUGGGAUUUUUGGGGGAUUUUAUGGGGAAUUCGGGGAUUUUUUGGGAUUUUUGAGGAUUUUUUGUGAUUUUUUGGGGAUUUUUUUGGGGAUUUUUGGGGAUUUUUUUGGGGAUUUUUGGGGAUUUUUUGGGGGAUUUUUUGGGGAUUUUUUGGGAAUUUUUGGGAUUUUUUGGGGAUUUUUCUGGAUUUUUUUGGGGGAUUUUUUGGGGAUUUUUCUGGAUUUUUUUUUGGGAUUUUUUGGGGAUUUUUUGGGAUUUUUUGGGGAUUUCUUGGGGAUUUUUUGGGAUUUUUUGGGGAUUUUUUGGGGGAUUUUUUUGGAUUUUUUUGGAAUUUUUUAGGGAAUUUUUGGGAAUUUUUUGGGAUUUUUUAGGAAUUUUUGGGGGAUUUUUUUUGGGAAUUUUUUGGGGAUUUUUUUGGGAUUUUUGGGGAUUUUUUGGGAAUUUUUUAGAAAUUUUUGGGGGAUUUUUUGGGGAUGUUUUGGGGAAUUUUUUGGGAAUUCUUUUGGAUUUUUUGGGGAUUUUUUUUGAAUUUUUGGGGGGUUUUUUGGGGAUUUUUUGGGAUAUUUUGUGAUUUUUUGGGGUAUUUUUGGGGGGAUUUUUGGGGAUUUUUUGGGAAUUCUGUUGGAACUUUUGGCAUUUUUGGGAAUUUCUUGGGAACUUGGGGAGGAAUUUUUCGGCUUUGAGGAAACUUUGGGAAUUCUGAGCUUCCCCAGGUCGGUUUUUAACCCAAAUUUUUCCCUUUUUCCCCCAAAAUUCCCAUUUUUUCCCUCCAAAAUUCCCAUUUUUUCCCCCAAAAUUCCCGGAUUUCCCCCGGAAUUCCCGGAUUUCCCCUGGAAUUGCAGGAAGCCGCCUGGGCCGUGGCUGACGAGUGCAUCCAGGUCAUGGGGGGGAUGGGAUUCAUGCAGGUGAGACCCAAACCCAAAUCCCAUUCCCGGAUUUUCCCGCCUUUUCCCGCUUUUUCCCGCUUUUUCCCAUCCCAUUCCCAAUUUUUCCCAUCCCAUUCCCGCUUUUUUCCGCUUUUUCCCAGUUUUUCCCAUCCCAUUCCCAAUUUUUCCCAAUUUUUCCUGCUUUUUCCCGCUUUUUCCUGAUUUUUCCCAUCCCAUUCCCGGUUUUCCCAAUUUUUCCUGGUUUUUCCCAUCCCAUUCCCAAUUUUUUCCAUCCCAUUCCCAUUUUUUCCCAGUUUUUCCCAAGUUUUUCCAAUUUUUCCCGGUUUUUCCCAGUUUUUCCCAUCCCAUUCCCGCUUUUUCCCAAUUUUUCCCAAUUUUUCCUGGUUUUUCCCGGUUUUUCCUGGUUUUUUCCAUUCCAUUCCCAACUUUUCCCAUCCCAUUCCCGCUUUUUCCCAAUUUUUCCCAGCUUUUCUUCCCAAUUUUUCCCAAUUUUUCCCAGAUUUUCCCAAUUUAUCCCAUUUUUUCCCAUCCCAUUCCCGCUUUUUCCCAAUUUUUCCCAAUUUUUCCCAAUUUUUCUUGGUUUUUCCUGGUUUUUCCUGAUUUUUCCCAGUCCCAUUCCCAAUUUUUCCCAAUUUUUCCCAAUUUUUCCCAAUUUUUCCCAAUUUUUCCUGGUUUUUCCCAGUUUUUCCCAUCCCAUUCCCGGUUUUUCCUGGGUGUUUUUCCCGCUCUUUUCCCUGCCCCAUUCCCGGUUUUUCCCGUUGUUUCCCGUUGUUUUUCCCGCUCUUUUCCCGCUCUUUUCCCGCUCUUUUCCCGCUGUCUCACUCCCAGUUUUUCCCGCUCUUUUCCCGUUGUUUUUCCCGCUCUUUUCCCGUUGUUUUUCCCGCUCUUUUCUCACUCCCGGUUUUUCCCGGGAUCAGGAGCCGGGUGUCGAGCGCGUCCUGCGGGAUUUGAGAGUUUUCCGCAUUUUCGAGGGAGCCAACGACGUCCUGAGGCUGUUCCUGGCCCUGCAGGGCUGCCAGGUGCCACUGGGGCAAACUGGGACAAACUGGGGGGGA